CAAAGCCACGAAAAAAAAAAGAAAAAAAAAAAAAUCCCCACACCAAAACCUAGAUCUUGUGGAGCUAAACUUUAAUGUUCUGAAAACCAACCUCUUCAUCUCCUUUGUUCGUGAAGCUAAACGUCACCAUCGAUCUACUCCGGUGAACUCCUCUCCUUUCUCUGGCAAGCAUCUCCAUCUUUCUCCUCCGAGAUUUAUCUUUCCCGACAUGGAAGAUGAUGCUUGCCUUCCGAUAACAAAAUUGAAAUCGAAAAACGGAUUCCGACCACAGCCGCUGGCUGUCUUCGGCGAAACAGACCGCCGCCAUCACCAUUCAUUCCAGGUGACAAGUUCCGAAUUCCGAUAGCUUCUCUGACGGUUUACAGCUCUUCUCCGACGAAACUAAAGCUCCUUCUUUGUCUCCUCCGUGAGACCAGAGACUAAACGGGACCCAGAUCUCCUCUGUGAAUCUAGAGACAACCGGUGGAUGUGGAUAAGCUACAAUGGCUUGAGAUCCGAGCAUGCCGAUGGAUGUGGGAUUCACGGUCCAUGCCACCCAUUACGGGAGGUGUAUCCCCGGUGGUAGAUGAUGGGUUUAAAAUUCAUGUCCCGCCACCAUUCCCAACGACUUGUUCACCACUGCCAUCACCUCUGCCACUGUCUUCCUCCUCAAGCUCAAUAAGUUAUGACUUUACUAAUUGUUUGUUCCUUUCUAACAUUGCUUAUUUUUUCAAAAUUUGUAUUGGGGAUUGAAAAUAUAUAUGUGAGCUUAAAGUUUCACUCUUUGAGGUUAUUUAGUAUACAUAAUGAACUUAGGUUGUUCGACAUAAUGCCUCAAUGAGAAUUAGAUCUGUUUCGGAUUAUAGUUAAUUUAUGAAUUAAACUUAUUCGUUUAUGAGAAGGAAGCUAAGGAGAUGCUAAUGAUAGAAACUUUGAGGGUCUUGAAACAUAUUUUCAAGGCUUACGAAGAAAGGAGUGAAAGUCGCUGCCAGAAAGAAGACGGUUAAAAUAUUCUCGAGAAGAGGCUAUGUAUCUCAUGAUCACCAUUGUCAUCUGCGAAACAGAGAAUUAAAAAACCAUCCAGAUCCUCAGCUAUAUGGGGGCUGUAGAAGACCAUGUUAUUGCUUGCAAAAAGUAAAAACGCCUUACUUCCAAUUGAUACGAGAGAAUGGUUGAAGAGAUGGGAGCCAAGUUCAAGGAGGAAGUUGACUAUAUCGUUUAACUUAUGAUGUUAGUUUUAGUUUGAUUAAGAUUAGGCGAUAGUUUAGUAAAUAGUAUAAGACUUAAUAUGAUAUUAUGUAUACCUUGUUUUUUUUUAAUGUAAUAUUAUUUAUUUAUGA